GUCCAGGCUGGAGUGCGGUUGCGCUGUCUCGGUUCACUGCAAACUCCGCCUCCUGGGUUCAAGCGAUUCUCCUGCCUCAGGCUCCGGAGUAGCUGGGAUUACAGGCAUGCGCCACCACUCCUGGCUAAUUUUUGUAUUUUAGUAGCGAUGGGGUUCCGCCAUGCUGGCCAGGCUGGUCUCAGGUGAUCCGCCCGCCUCCUAAAGUGCUGGGAUUACAGGUGUGGGCCACCGCGCCCGACCUACAGGCGCCUUUUUAUUUGCGAUUUUAAGGUCCUUGCAAUUAGCCUACGUGUUAGAGUCAUUUGGCGUUUGGUAGUAUCCAUGGCAGCAUUUUUUCUUUCUUAAUGCUAUUGUAUUUCUUGGAUCGGGUGUCUUCACAUCACCGGCCUGUGGCUUGGAUGCGGCACAUGGUGUAAUUAGGAGCUCCCCUGUGGGCAUGCAGAUACAGAUAUUUCUCCACUUAAGAAGGGGUCAGGGGGCGCGGUGGCUCACACCUGUAAUCCCAGCACUUUGGGAUGCUGAGGCAGGCGGAUCACCUGAGGUCAGGAGUUCGAGACCAGCCUGACCAACAUAGUGAAACCCCAUCUCUACUAAAAGUACAAAAAUUAGCUCGGCGUGGUGGCGCUUAAUCCCAGCUACUUAAGAGGCUGAGGCAGGAGAAUAACUUGAACCCAAGAAGCGGAGGUUGCAGUGAGCAGAGAUCGACAAGAGCAAGACUCCGUCUAAAAAAAAAAAAAAAAAAUGGGGUCAAGUCCCAGUGAACCCAUCAUGAAGUCGAAACAUCGUAAGUGAAACCACGAUGAAACUGCUGAGCUCAGAGAGGAAAAGGGACAAAUUCAGUAUGUCACAGCACUGCAGCAGCAAAAGAGCCUGGACCAGAAUCCAGGGCUGCUGACCCGGGCCUGACUUCUUUCUUUUAGGCCACAUGGCCUCCUGCCUCACUUGCAGCUCUGAACUCCCAGGGCCCUGGGGUGUGCCCACAUCUGCGCCAAUGCAAGACCAAGUUCGGAUAGCAGAACUCCAAACAGGAAAUGUCUCUUGUGCAGAGCGAAAUGGCGAAUGGCUCAUGGGGCGGCCUCUUUGAAAAUGGGUCAUCUUUCUCUGACAGAACCAGAAGUCCGCUUCUCAGGGCCCACGUGUGCAGCUGGGGUUGGGGGCAAGGGGAAGCUGACCCAGCAGAGGAUAUUUAAGUCAUGUGCCCGCUCCAAACUCAUAUUUCAGAUUCCUCUGUCUAGCCAAUCAGAGCACAUGCCUGUCACUCACACUGCUCCUGUCUCUCUCAGUUCUAUUUUCAAUCUGGGCUUGUAGAGCUCAGACAAGUUCUGUCCUCCUUGGUCCCUGUGAGGGGAGGGGGUCCCUUGUUUGCUGCAGAAGCCUGUCCCACCCAACUUCUUCUGGGGGGUGAAGAGGAGGGAGGUGGAGGGACCAAGGAGGUCCCUUCCUCAUGAAAAGCAUGCCACUUCUCACACAGACCUCACGCUGGGAUAGCUACAAAAGGCACCUACUCAUUUCUACAGCAAAUCUUUUUGUGUGGUUGCAUUCGAGACAGCAUUGUGAGGUUACUGGGCUAACUCUCAUUCAUCCUUCAGGUAUCCAGUUAAUUGUCACUUCCUAAGGAAAGUCUGCAAAACCCCAAGCCAGCAUAGGGCCCUGCCAUGUGCUCCCCCAUCCCCUUCAUUCCUGUCAUUGUAAUCAUCACACCGUAUUAUAGCUGCCUGUUCAUUUUCGCACCUUUCUAGUAGAGAACGUAAGCUCUGUGAGGGCAAGGAACCUUUGUUUCACUCAAGGAAUCCCCAGUACCGAGCCCGGUGCUUGAAUGUAGCAGGUGCUCAAUUAACACAGGGAGGACUGGAAUGAAAACCUUCCCUGAG
rnacentral:lncRNA from 10 species